UGAGGAAUAUUGGGCAAUGCCCGCAAGGGUGACCCAGCAACGCCGCGUGGAGGAUGAAUGUCGUAAGAUUGUAAACUCCUGUUGGAGGGGAAGAAUAGUACCGGUUGGACCGGUAUAUGACUGUACCCUCAGAGAAAGCCCCGGCUAACUACGUGCCAGCAGCCGCGGUAAUACGUAGGGGGCAAGCGUUGUCCGGAUUUACUGGGUGUAAAGGGCGCGCAGGCGGGAUAAAAAGUCAGUGGUGAAAUCCUACAGCUUAACUGUAGAACUGCCUUUGAUACUUUCAUUCUUGAGUUCGGGAGGGAGCGACGGAGUUCCAGGUGUAGGGGUGAAAUACGUAGAUAUCUGGAAGAACACCAGUUGCGAAGGCGGUCUCUUGGUCCGACACUGACGCUGAGGCGCGAAAGCGUGGGGAGCAAACA
rnacentral:rRNA from 1 species